GAUGAACGCUGGCGGCGUGCCUAAUACAUGCAAGUCGAGCGAACAGACGAGGAGCUUGCUCCUCUGACGUUAGCGGCGGACGGGUGAGUCACACGUGGAUACCCUCCCUAUAAGACUGGGAUAACUUCGGGAAACCGGAGCUAAUACCGGAUAAUAUAUUGAACCGCAUGGUUCAAUAGUGAAAGACGGUUUUGCUGUCACUUAUAGAUGGAUCCGCGCCGCAUUAGCUAGUUGGUAAGGUAACGGCUUACCAAGGCAACGAUGCGUAGCCGACCUGAGAGGGUGAUAGGCCACACUGGAACUGAGACACGGUCCAGACUCCUACGGGAGGCAGCAGUAGGGAAUCUUCCGCAAUGGGCGAAAGCUUGACGGAGCAACGCCGCGUGAGUGAUGAAGGUCUUCGGAUCGUAAAACUCUGUUAUUAGGGAAGAACAAAUGUGUAAGUAACUAUGCACGUCUUGACGGUACCUAAUCAGAAAGCCACGGCUAACUACGUG
rnacentral:rRNA from 1 species